rnacentral:rRNA from 1 species
UGAGGAAUAUUGGUCAAUGGGCGCAAGCCUGAACCAGCCAUGCCGCGUGCAGGAUGACGGUCCUAUGGAUUGUAAACUGCUUUUGUACGAGAAGAAACACUACUUCGUGAAGUAGCUUGACGGUAUCGUAAGAAUAAGGAUCGGCUAACUCCGUGCCAGCAGCCGCGGUAAUACGGAGGAUCCAAGCGUUAUCCGGAAUCAUUGGGUUUAAAGGGUCCGUAGGCGGUCUUAUAAGUCAGUGGUGAAAUCUCCCCGCUCAACGGGGAAACUGCCAUUGAUACUGUAGGACUCGAAUAAUUAGGAAGUAACUAGAAUAUGUAGUGUAGCGGUGAAAUGCUUAGAGAUUACAUGGAAUACCAAUUGCGAAGGCAGGUUACUACUAAUUUAUUGUACGCUGAUGGACGAAAGCGUGGGUAGCGAACAGGAUUAGAUACCCUGGUAGUCCACGCCGUAAACGAUGGAUACUAGCUGUUGGGGGCAACGUUCAGUGGCUAAGAC